GACGAACGCUGGCGGCGCGCCUAACACAUGCAAGUCGAACGAGCGAAAGAGAGCUUGCUUUCUUGAGCGAGUGGCGAACGGGUGAGUAACGCGUGAGGAACCUGCCUCAAAGAGGGGGACAACAGUUGGAAACGACUGCUAAUACCGCAUAAGCCCACGAUCCGGCAUCGGGUUGAGGGAAAAGGAGCAAUCCGCUUUGAGAUGGCCUCGCGUCCGAUUAGCUAGUUGGUGAGGUAACGGCCCACCAAGGCGACGAUCGGUAGCCGGACUGAGAGGUUGAACGGCCACAUUGGGACUGAGACACGGCCCAGACUCCUACGGGAGGCAGCAGUGGGGAAUAUUGCACAAUGGGGGAAACCCUGAUGCAGCGACGCCGCGUGGAGGAAGAAGGUCUUCGGAUUGUAAACUCCUGUUGUUGAGGAAGAUAAUGACGGUACUCAACAAGGAAGUGACGGCUAACUACGUGCCAGCAGCCGCGGUAAAACGUAGGUCACAAGCGUUGUCCGGAAUUACUGGGUGUAAAGGGAGCGCAGGCGGGAAGACAAGUUGGAAGUGAAAUCUAUGGGCUCAACCCAUAAACUGCUUUCAAAACUGUUUUUCUUGAGUAGUGCAGAGGUAGGCGGAAUUCCCGGUGUAGCGGUGGAAUGCGUAGAUAUCGGGAGGAACACCAGUGGCGAAGGCGGCCUACUGGGCACCAACUGACGCUGAGGCUCGAAAGUGUGGGUAGCANACAGG
rnacentral:rRNA from 1 species